rnacentral:ncRNA from 1 species
GGUAAAUUGUUGCGCAAGAAGAGUACAUAAGCUAAUUUCGUCACAGAGAGCCGGGUUGCUGGGAACCGGUACGGAAUGGUUUAUCGAAUGGGCUUGCAAGAGGCUUUCUGAACGAUAGUAGGAAAGCACGGGUUCCGCCGUUAAAAGGAUAGAAUAUGGAACAGUAUUCGAAAAGGGGAAACGGCCUUCGCCGUUUCAAUUGAGGUGGCACCGCGGUCAUACGUAAUCGUCCUCUAU